CUGCUCUGCCUGCGGGAAGCCUGCUUACAGGGGCCUGGGAAUGCUGUGCCAUCAGAUCCCUGUGCAACCGCAGGGCACCUGCCUGAGGCCUCUCUGACUACCAGGCAAACCACAUCACUUCUCUGAAACUCAGUUUCCUCACCUGCAAAAUGGGAGUGAUAAUGACCUCUGCCCAGAUAUGCCUGCAAUUAUCUUUUCAGCUGAGGGGCCUUUGCUCUGACUCCCAACAUUUGGAGAAGAUGAACUAUUGUUGAGUUCUUCAAGAGUAAAAGUCAAUAAAGGCUGAGCACGUCUGAAGACAGCUGUUCUGGAUGGCAUCCAGGGACACAUCUGGCAGCAAGAUGCAGAAGGAAAGCCCGAGUUGUCUCAACAGUCACCUGGGGGAGCGGCCAGGGGUCAGGCUGAAUCAGUCCAAGGCUAGAGCUGAGCCUGCACUGCUGGCCAUGCCUGGGGGGCUGGGGCGGCUACCCCAUUCAACUGCACUCCUUCUCCUCCUCUCCCUCUGUCUCGUCUCCCUCUCCCCUUCUGCUG